UGUAGAUGAUCUGCCCACAGCAAUAAACCCUAAAGAAGAAGAAGCGUAAGGAAGCUCUUCAGUUGUGGAUGUUUGGGAUCUGCAGCUGGGGGUUUUUGGAGGUUUUAGGGUUUUUGGGGGUUUGUUCCACAGCUCUGAAGGAACAGAGGAUCAGCUGGACUGUAGAAGAACUAAAGAUGUUCCUCGUCUUCUCCAGCUCCUAGUGUGUACUUUUCUACAUGGCUGAAGUUCAUCUCUGCAAAAACACAAAGCAGGAGAUUUCACAAAGAUCAAUGAAUCAACAUCUCACAGACAACAAAUGAAUUCCAAUGAAAGUCCAUCAAGGAAGAAAACUCUCAGCUGUUCAGACUGUGGGAAGAUUUUUAAACAUCUGCAGAAUCUUAAAAGACACUGGCGCAUUCACACAGGAGAGAAGCCGUAUCUCUGCUCAGAAUGUGGGAGGAGUUUUAACCAACUGAAUUCUCUCAGAAGACACCAGGACGCUCACACUGGAGAGAAGCCGUUCUGCUGUUUGGACUGUGGGAUGAGUUUCAAUCGACUGAAUAAUCUCCAACAACACCAGCUCAUUCACACAGGAGAGAAACCCUAUCACUGUGUGGAGUGUGGGACAAGUUUUAACAGGCUGGGGAAUCUCCAACAACACCAGCUCAUUCACACAGGAGAGAAGCCGUAUUACUGCUCAGACUGUGAGAAGAUCUUCAGGCAUUUAAAUACAUUUAAGAAACACAAGUGCACGAGUGCAGUCACUAAAAAAGCCAAUAACCCCACCUAUUCAACCAUUGAAGGCCCCAACAAUGAUCCUGAAGUAGGGUGAAAGUGGUAUUUAAAAAGCCAUUAAACCAUGAACCAUAUUUUUUUCAUUAGUAGCUGAAAUGUGUUCCUCUGAAGUAAUGAAACAUACCAGUCUUGCUUAUUUUUUUUAUAACAUUUCCUUAUUUCCUUUAUUGUGGUCAUUUCUGCCUCUGCAGUACCCACACAGGUUUAACUGUGCUACAGGUCCUUCUCCAAAAAAUUAGCAUAUUGUGAUAAAGUUCAUUCUUUUUUUUUUCAUAAUGAAAUGCACACCAACUAAAAUAUUUCAGGUCUUUUAUUGCUUUAAUACUGGUGAUUUUGGCAGACAGCUCAUGAAAACCCAAAAUUCCUAACUCACAAAUCUAGCAUAUCAUGAAAAAGUUCUCUAAACGAGCUAUUAACCUAAUCAUCUGAAUCAACGAAUUAACUCUAAACACCUGCAAAAGAUUCCUGAGGCUUUUAAAAAUUCCCAGCCUGGUUCAUUACUCAAAACCGCAAUCAUGGGUAAGGCUGCCGACCUGACUGCUGUCCAGAAGGCCAUUAUUGACACCCUCAAGCAAGAGGGUAAGACACAGAUUCCAGACCUUGGGGGACCUGCAGAAGCAGUGGACUGAGUCUAGAGUAGAAACAUCCAGAGCCACCGUGCACAGGCGUGUGCAGGAAAUGGGCUACAGGUGCCACAUUCCCCAGAUCAAGCCACUUUUGAACCAGAAACAGCAGCAGAAGCGUCUGACCUGGGCUACAGAGAAGUAGCGCUGGACUGUUGCUCAGUGGUCCAAAGUACUUUUUUCGGAUGAAAGCAAAUUUUGCAUGUCAUUCCGAAAUCAAGGUGCCAGAGUCUGGAGGAAGACUGGGGAGAAGGAAAUGCCAAAAUGCCUGAAGUCCAGUGUCAAGUACCCACAGUCAGUGAUGGUCUGGGGUGCCAUGUCAGCUGCUGGUGUUGGUCCACUGUGUUUUAUCAAGGGCAGGGUCGAUGCAGCUAGCUAUCAGGAGAUUUUGGAGCACUUCAUGCUUCCAUCUGCUAAAAAGCCUUAUGGAGAUGAAGAUUUCAUUUUUCAGCACGACCUGGCACCAGCUCACAGUGCUAAAACCACUGGUAAAUGGUUUACUGACCAUGGUAUUACUGUGCUCAAUUGGCCUGCCAACUCUCCUGACCUGAACCCCAUAGAGAAUCUGUGGGAUAUUGUGAAGAGAAAGUUGAGAGACGCAAGACCCAACACUCUGGAUGAGCUUAAGGCCGCUAUCGAAGCAUCCUGGGCCUCCAUAACACCUCAGCAGUGCCUCAGGCUGAUUGCCUCCAUGCCACGCCGCAUUGAAGCGGUCAUUUCUGCAAAUGGAUUCCCGACCAAGUAUUGAGUGCGUAAUAGAACAUAAUUAUUUGAAGGUUGACUGUUUUUGUAUUAAAACACUUUUCUUUUGUUGGUCGGAUAAAAUAUGCAAAUUUUUUUAGAUUUUUGUUUUUUCUUUACUUUUUUGCCAAAAUCAUCAAUAUAAAACAAUAAAAGGCUUGAACUAUUUCAGUUGUGUGUAAUGAAUCUAAAAUAUAUGAAAGUCUAAUGUUUAUCAGUACAUUACAGAAAAUAAUGAACUUUAUCACAAUUCGCUAAUUUUUUGAGAAGGACCUGUAUAUACAGAUCAGUCAAUCAAUAAUACCACCCCCCGGUGACGUCCAACCAUCUGCAUCUCAACGCACACUGCUCAACCCAAUCAGCUCUACCUCCUGCCUCACCUCUAAACCCAUACAUCACCCAGUUCCCCUCCCAAUAUACCCCUCCCAUUUUUUAGCCUUUUUUAAAUUUCAGCUGAUGGUGGAGUUAGCUAAAAUCAGGGGGUUUAUUGGCCCUAUAAAGACGGCCUUGCAUGCUCUUAAAAACCUUAAAAGUCUAAUUAUUGAUUGAAUGUAUGUAAUCAAUGAUAUGUAAUCACUUUUUAGACCUUGUACAAUUUUGUUUGAAGAAUGUUUGUUUUUCAUGGGACUGUGAUUCUGCUGAGGACUGUUGACUGUAAAAUAUAUGUGCUCGUUACUCCUUCAAGACAGUUUCAAUGCAUUAGUGGAUUCUGUGUCUUUUUGCUAUCAGAAAAGUUUAUUUUUGCACCUAAUUUGAAUCUUAUUUAUGCAAUGCAUUUUUCUUUUUAAUUUAAUUUGUUGUAUAUAAUUUUUGUUGUUUUUUGCACUGUUGUCUUUGGUCAUAUUAUAUCCCUUUUAAUAAUGUUGAGUCAAGUUAAAAUCUUAUUUUUGAGUAAUUUAUAUUUGCGUUUUUUUUAUAUAAGCUGUUCAAAGUGAAUUAUUGAAUGGUGAAUUACAGCUCUUACUUCCUCCCUAAAAUAAUUGUCUAAAAAUUAUUUUUUUGCCUAAAUCAUCUCCCUAUGAUGCUGUACGGCCAUCUGUAAUAAAGUCUCUUACAUCUACACCUGAUCAGAUCACGUGAUUAUUCUACCCCUUUAGGAUAAUGUUUAGUUUAUGUCAAUAGUGAGAUUUAAGAUAAUGUGUUAUUUUUAAUCAGAAUAAAAUGUGACCUAAAAAUGUGGCAAUUUUAUUAGCAGUGCAAGACUAGACUCCUUCAUUGAACUAACUUCCACCAUUCAGCUCAUUCAAUUUACUAUAGUAUAAAUUAUUAACUUCUUAUUAAUAAAGGCUAUAGGCUAUAAAUAUUG